GCCUAGCCUCAAUAGAAGUGGAAAUCCUUUUGUGUUCGCCGCGGCGGACAUAAAAGAUUGAAACGGAUUGCUUCUC
rnacentral:sRNA from 4 species